rnacentral:rRNA from 1 species
UACGUAGGUGGCGAGCGUUGUCCGGAUUUACUGGGCGUAAAGAGCACGCAGGCGGUCGUUCAAGUCGCGUGUGAAAGCCCCCGGCUCAACUGGGGAGGGUCACGCGAUACUGAUCGACUCGAAGGCAGGAGAGGGAAGUGGAAUUGCCGGUGUAGUGGUGAAAUGCGUAGAGAUCGGCAGGAACACCCAGGGGGAAACCAGUCGACUGGGCAUCUACUGACGCUGAGGUGCGAGAGCGUGGGGAGCGAACCGG